UACGUAGGGACCAAGCGUUGUUCGGAUUCACUGGGCGUAAAGGGUGCGUAGGUGGCAUGGUAAGUUUGAUGUGAAAGCUCAGGGCUCAACCCUGAAAUGGCAUUGAAUACUACUGUGCUGGAGGUUUGGAGGGGGGACUGGAAUUCUUGGUGUAGCAGUGAAAUGCGUAGAUAUCAAGAGGAACACCAGUGGCGAAGGCGAGUCCCUGGACAACACCUGACACUGAGGCACGAAAGCUAGGGGAGCAAACAGG
rnacentral:rRNA from 1 species